rnacentral:tRNA from 1 species
GCGCCCGUAGCUCAGCGGAUUAGAGCAUCUGACUACGAAUCAGAAGGUCGGGGAUUCGAAUUCCUCCGGGCGCACCA